UCUGGUAAUUAGAGCGACGUGGAACUACCCUUUCCCAUUCCGAACAGGGAAGUAAAACGCGUCAGCGCUUACGAUACUUUUUGCGUAUUGCAGAAGGGACAAUAGGUCAUUGCCAGGG
rnacentral:rRNA from 1 species